GCGGGAUUAGUACACCGGUAGUAUGCGUCCUUCCCAAGGACGAGAAGAGGGUCCAAUUCCCUUAUCCCGCU
rnacentral:tRNA from 1 species